rnacentral:lncRNA from 1 species
CUCUCUAUAGCCCAACCUCCAGGAUUUCAGCACUUCGUGGACAUGGAGGCUGACGAUGGAAAAUAAAAACAACAAGCAAGUGAAACUCCCUGACUUAUCAACCUUACUCAAGAACUAUGCUCCUGUUUAGGUAUGCAGACCUGACUUCUUGACUGCAGAUCCCCCAAAACCAGAAUUGGGUGCUCUGAACAUGCUCAAGAGAAAGUCAAAUUUGAAACCCAUUGUGUUAAAACCUGUUGUAAGGAAAAAAAAAAAAAAAACUACAAAGAACUGUAUUUUGUCAUCGUAAUUACAGAGAUGUAGAAAAACGUGUUUUCUACAAGAUGCAAAAAUAUGUGAGACCUCUUUAUAACACAUGGU